UACGUAGGUGGCAAGCGUUGUCCGGAAUUAUUGGGCGUAAAGCGCGCGCAGGUGGUUUCUUAAGUCUGAUGUGAAAGCCCACGGCUCAACCGUGGAGGGUCAUUGGAAACUGGGGAACUUGAGUGCAGGAGAGAAGAGUGGAAUUCCACGUGUAGCGGUGAAAUGCGUAGAGAUGUGGAGGAACACCAGUGGCGAAGGCGACUCUUGGCCUGUAACUGACACUGAGGCGCGAAAGCGUGGGGAGCAAACAGG
rnacentral:rRNA from 1 species